rnacentral:rRNA from 1 species
UGGGGAAUCUUGCGCAAUGGGCGAAAGCCUGACGCAGCGACGCCGCGUGAGUGAUGAAGGCCUUCGGGUUGUAAAGCUCUGUGGGGAGAGAAGAAUAAGUGCGGGCUAAUACCUCGCAUGAUGACGGUAUCUCCUUAGCAAGCACCGGCUAACUCUGUGCCAGCAGCCGCGGUAAGACAGAGGGUGCAAACGUUGUUCGGAAUUACUGGGCAUAAAGCGAGUGUAGGCGGUUUGGUAAGUCGGAUGUGAAAGCCCCGGGCUCAACCCGGGAAGUGCAUUCGAUACUGCCAAGCUAGAGUAUCGGAGAGGUUGGUGGAAUUCUCGGUGUAGAGGUGAAAUUCGUAGAUAUCGAGAGGAACACCGGUGGCGAAGGCGACCACCUGGACUGAUACUGACACUGAGGUGCGAAAGCGUGGGGAGCAAACAGGAUUAGAUACCCUAGUAGUCCCUGAGCGGGCUGGCAAGGCGCAU